rnacentral:rRNA from 1 species
GAUGAACGCUAGCGGGAGGCCUAACACAUGCAAGCCGAGCGGUAGAGUUUCUUCGGAAACUUGAGAGCGGCGCACGGGUGCGUAACACGUGUGCAACCUACCUUUAUCUGGGGGAUAGCCUUUCGAAAGGAAGAUUAAUACCCCAUAAUAUAAUGAUUGGCAUCAAUUAUUAUUGAAAACUCCGGUGGAUAGAGAUGGGCACGCGCAAGAUUGGAUAGUUGGUGAGGUAACGGCUCACCAAGUCAAUGAUCUUUAGGGGUCCUGAGAGGGAGAUCCCCCACACUGGUACUGAGACACGGACCAGACUCCUACGGGAGGCAGCAGUGAGGAAUAUUGGACAAUGGGUGAGAGCCUGAUCCAGCCAUCCCGCGUGAAGGAUGACGGUCCUAUGGAUUGUAAACUUCUUUUGUACAGGGAUAAACCUACCCUCGGGAGGGUAGCUGAAGGUACUGUACGAAUAAGCACCGGCUAACUCCGUG